ensembl:miRNA
AAUGUUGGCAGAGAAAGGAGAAGAGGAUCAUGUUUGCUCCCGUGGACAGCUCUCUGGUGCGCCCCUCCCGCCAUCCUGCCCACCCCUGCAUAAUGCUGCUUCUCUUCUCUCCUUCCCAG